rnacentral:rRNA from 1 species
AUCGGCACGCGGUCCCAUGCAGGUCGAACGAUGAAGCCCAGCUUGCUGGGUGGAUUAGUGGCGAACGGGUGAGUAACACGUGAGUAACCUGCCCCUGACUCUGGGAUAAGCCCGGGAAACUGGGUCUAAUACCGGAUAUGACUUUUGACCGCAUGGUUGAGGGUGGAAAGAUUUAUCGGUUGGGGAUGGACUCGCGGCCUAUCAGCUUGUUGGUGAGGUAAUGGCUCACCAAGGCGACGACGGGUAGCCGGCCUGAGAGGGUGACCGGCCACACUGGGACUGAGACACGGCCCAGACUCCUACGGGAGGCAGCAGUGGGGAAUAUUGCACAAGGGGCGCAAGCCUGAUGCAGCGACGCCGCGUGAGGGAUGACGGCCUUCGGGUUGUAAACCUCUUUCAGUAGGGAAGAAGCGAAAGUGACGGUACCUGGAGAAGAAGCGCCGGCUAACUACGUGCCAGCAGCCGCGGUAAUACGUAGGGCGCAAGCGUUAUCCGGAUUUAUUGGGCGUAAAGAGCUCGUAGGCGGUUUGUCGCGUCUAUCGUGAAAGUCCGACGGUCGGCCUCGGAUCUGCGGGGGCUACUGCCGCACGAACCGUGAUGUAUCGCAUACUCCCUAUCGAAAGAGGUUUACAAACAUGAAGGCCAUAUCUCCCUCAAGCGGCGUCGCUGCAUCAGGCUCUGCUGCCCAUUGUGCUGAUAUUCGCCGACUGCAGCCUCCCGUAAGAGUCUGGGACUGUGUCUCAGUGCCCAGUGUGGCCGGUCACCCUCUCACGCCGGCUACCCGUCGUCUCCAUGGUGAGCCAUUACCUCACCAACAAGCUGAUAGGCCGCGAGUCCAUCCCCAACCGAUAAAUCUUUCCACCCCUCGACCAUUGCGGUCAAAAGUCAUAUCCGGUAUUAGACCCAGUUUCCUCGGGCGUUAUCCCAGAGUCAGGUGCAGGUUGACUCCACGUGGUUGACUCACCCGCUUCCGCCGACUAAUC